GGCAAAUUGGCCAGGUUCUGGGAGCUGUCUCCGCUCUGGGUCCAGGUGUUUGUGAACUAGGGUGGCCUUUUUCCCUGCCAGGCAGGUGGUGGCAGAGCACUCCCUGGAGCAGGGGGUGAGGAUUCUUGCCUCCGACAGUGCCUCGCCUGGAGCCAGCGGCAGCCAGAGGGGGCUGGGGCCCUAGGGUUCCCGAAGCCCGGGAAAGCGAUGGAGAAGAGAAAGAAGCAGUAGCCGUCGUGAUGGUCACGGAGCUGAGCCCGACUAGGGCCGGGCAGGACAAGGGCUCGGCUGGCCCAGGGAGCCCCGGAAAGCAUCAGGAGAAAGCGCUGCGCGCAAGAGAGAAAAGCGCUGCACUUGCUACACUUACAAGGACAAAGAGUGCGUGUACUAUUGUCACCUGGACAUCAUCUGGAUCAAUACGCCAGAACAGACUGUACCAUAUGGGCUCUCCAAUUACAGAGGCAGCUUCCGGGGCAAGAGAUCUGCAGAUCCUAUCUGCAGGACUUUGCCACCAUUUGAAGGGCCACGGAACCGAUGUUCUUGCACGGAACAAGAUGAUGAUGCCUGCAUUCGUUUUUGCACCGGAACUGAGGACAACAGAAGCAAUUCAAGGACAGCAGGAAAACAUCAAGACAUGGACAUGGAACAGCCUCCUGAAAAGUGGCCCUGACAGCACAGAUGCAUGAACAGAG
rnacentral:lncRNA from 1 species